GAUGAACGCUGGCGGCGUGCUUAACACAUGCAAGUCGAACGGAAAGGCCCAAGCUUGCUUGGGUACCCGAGUGGCGAACGGGUGAGUAACACGUGGGUGAUCUGCCCUGCACUUCGGGAUAAGCCUGGGAAACUGGGUCUAAUACCGGAUAGGACGAUGGUUUGGAUGCCAUUGUGGAAAGUUUUUUCGGUGUGGGAUGAGCUCGCGGCCUAUCAGCUUGUUGGUGGGGUAAUGGCCUACCAAGGCGUCGACGGGUAGCCGGCCUGAGAGGGUGUACGGCCACAUUGGGACUGAGAUACGGCCCAGACUCCUACGGGAGGCAGCAGUGGGGAAGAUUGCACAAUGGGCGCAAGCCUGAUGCAGCGACGCCGCGUGGGGGAUGACGGCCUUCGGGUUGUAAACUCCUUUCGCUAGGGACGAAGCGUUUUUGUGACGGUACCUGGAGAAGAAGCACCGGCUAACUACGUG
rnacentral:rRNA from 1 species